GAUAAUAGCAAGCACAUAUACAUUUGGAAUGAUUGGUUUGGUGGUCAAGGUUCUCAUGAAGAAUGAAGAGAAAGUAGAGGCAGGGCAACCAGUAUUAGUAAUGGAAGCUAUGAAAAUGGAGCAUGUUGUAAAGGCUCAUUCCUCUAGUUUUAUUCACGGGCUUCAAGUAGCUCCUGGGCAGCAAGUUUCAGAUGGUAGCAUUCUCUUCAUUGUGAAGGAUGUGACAGCAACUAAAGGGAAUGAAUUUUGAGGACUAUUUUCUCAAGCGCGAGUUAUUGAUGGGUAUAUAUGAGAAGGGUUUUGAAAGGCCAUCCCCUAUCCAGGAAGAAAGUAUUCCAAUUGCGCUUACUGGGAGUGAUAAUCUUGCCAGAGCAAAGAAUGGGACAGGAAAAACUGCUACCUUUUGCAUUCCUGCUUUGGGAAAAAAUGAUCAAGACAACAACGUUAUUCAAGGUCCUCACUAUGACUAUUUUUUAUUCCAUACGCAGAAUUUGUUGUCUUGUUAUGGCUAAGUUUCAUUGCAUAUGCAGAAUUUGUUAGUUUUUUUUUUAUAUUUUUGGACGAAAAUUGUAAUAUUACAGCCUUUUUAAU